UGACGUUACCGACAGAAAAGCACCGGCUAACUGUGCCAGCAGCCGCGGUAAUACGAAGGGUGCAAGCGUUAAUCGGAAUUACUGGGCGUAAAGCGCGCUAGGUGGAAUUCAGUAAGUUGGAAGUGAAUUAUCCCCGGGCUCAACCUGGGAACUGCUUUAAAACUGCUGAGCUAGAGCCUACGGUAGAGGGUGGUGGAAUUUCCUGUGUAGCGGUGAAAGCGUAGAUAUAGGAAGGAACACAGUGGCGAAGGCGACCACCUGGACUGAUACUGACACUGAGUGCGAAAGCGUGGGGAGCAAACAGGAUUAGAUACCCUGGUAUCCACGCCGUAAACGAUGUCAACUAGCCGUUGGGAGUCUUGACUCUUAGUGGCGCAGCUAACGCAUUAAGUUGACCGC
rnacentral:rRNA from 1 species